UUGUUCUUAAUCUUUGCCUCAGAUGGCCUCUGGGAACAUCUCAGUGAUGAAGCUGCUGUGGAUAUUGUAUAUAAAUACCCAAGAGCUGUAAGUUUGAGUUCCCGCUACUUUUAUAUAGAUAAUUUCAGUAUAGAGACAUUAACACCUGGAUGCUUUUCUUCUUGCUUUGACCAUAUAUUUUGCCUUCAUGUGGCGAAAUUUAUAAAUCAUUUAUAAACAUUCUUCAUUUUCGACCACACAUUUCAAUGGAUCCACACGUAAUAUCUGCUCAUCCACCACUCAUUUCUAUUUAUUUAUGAAAUUAAACCUUUUAUAAAUUCUUCCCUAACAGAGGCUCAGUUGUGACAUUUACUUUAUUAGCUGUUCAGCCUGUUCUUAUAUGAAGACCUCGGGAUUAGGAUUGCAAGGCUCUUAUUAUUUUCAGUUGCAUCUAAAUGCGUUUGCUUUCAUGAUUAUGAUUCAUUUUUUGUUAAAAACGCGGGCGCAAGAAUGAAAAUUUGUGUUCUGGAUUAGUUAAAAAGCAAUGGCAAAGCAUCAAGUUCUACUGAAUGUGAUAUAGCCUUUGUUAAUCUGGUUUAGCUUUUGGCUGGUCAUCCCUUGAAAGUUUUCUAGCUUGACUUGCUUGUUCUUUGUGCUGAAUUUUCUACAGGGUAUAGCCAAGAGAUUAGUCGGAGCUGCCAUUCACGAGGCAGCAAAGAAGAGGGAGGUGAGAUACAAGGACAUUAGAAAGAUCGAAAAGGGAGGUAGGCGCCAUUUCCAUGAUGAUAUUACUGUGAUUGUGAUCUAUCUUGACCAUGAUCAUCGUAAAAGCCCUAAACACGAUCAAGGGUCUGUUGGCAUUACCAGCGCCCCUGUUGACAUCUUCUCCUAUAAUUCAGAUGAAAUCGAGGAAAAUCCAGUUGACAAGAUUUUCCCCAAUGAGGAGUCUCGGCAUAUAUUGGCGGUAUCCUAAAUAGAAUGUGGAAACUUGAAAAUCGGUAAUCUUGUAUACAGGUUUCCGCGUAAAUAAAAUUAUAGUUGCUGUUUGAUGCUGCGAUGAAAAGGCAAGGUUUUUCAUGUAGGUUUUUACAGAAAAUAAACAAUUUUUUUGUUCUUUGCAUGUUAGUUUUUAUUGGAGUUGAGUUAGCAGAUCGCAUUUGUACUGAUACGUAUUUUUUAAGUUGAGUUUUGCACUCGUUUAUGCUUAAGAUCAUAGACCAGCCAUAGCAUUUGCAGAGCAUGUUUCUUUCUUCUAUAUUUGCCUCAAGACACCAAUCUUGGCUACCAUUUUACAAGGACAACUGAUCAAUCUAAAUAUUCCAUUUUUAGUUUAUUCUUAUUCUUUUUUCUCCAUUCCUUCACUUCUGUCUAUUCGGUCAUAUUUAUUUCCCGACUAUGAACUCAACAUAACAAAUACAGGUCAAUCUUCGAAUAAACGUAUAUCAAAUGCUAUAAAACAUAUAUCUGGACCAACUUGUUUGGCUGGUUCCGAAGUAUUAACUAGAUGUGAACCGUUUCAAUAAAAUUUCAUCUUUGAAUGAAAAUCUAUUUUUAAAUAUAUUUUAUCUUCUUCAUAAUUUCACUCUCUUCACGUGUAUGAAUCAAUUGUGGUCUCUCAAACUUUACCAGCGAUUUGGAAGAAUUCCUUGCUUGACGUAGAUGUUUCUAGUCGCACUUAAAAGCCAUGUAUUCUUCGAUUAAAGUUAUAAAGUUUGGAUUAAUGUGAUAUUUUUUGUUAAUUUUAGUACACGAUUGUAUUAUUUUAUUACAUAAAAAAUAAGUCUAGAGGGUUUGAAAUGAUUGUAUUUAUUUAUUGGAAAAAUUCAUAACUAUGAUGUUAAGUAUCGCCCAUUUUAAAAUUAAGAACAAAUGUUUUAAAUUUUAAAAAUCAGCUAUUUAUUAAAAUUUAUUUAUGAUCCAAUUAAUCAUUUGUAUAUUUUAUUAAUUAAAUAUAUAAAGGUCACAUAUUUAUACAAUUUGCUCAUAAACAAAUGAUUUAGUUAGUCAUAUAUUAUUUUUUUUUUAUCACAAAUCAGAAUUUUUAUAAAUUACAAAUUAUUUUACGAUCACAAUUCAAGAAUUUUAUAAGUCACAAUUUGUUCAUCGGUCAGAAUUAAUUUAUCAUUGACAAAUUACAAAAAUUAUAAGUCACAAAUUAUCGAUCAUAAAUUAACAAUUUUUAAGGUCGCAUAUUAUUUUUUUAAUCACAAUUUAUCUUUUUCAUUAGUCACAUAUUGUUUAUUGGUCACAGUUAACCAAAUAAUUUGUAACCACCAUUUCAUCAUUGCCUACAUCAGCAGCAGCAGCAGCACCACCCCCUACCGAAGCAACACCACCAAUUCAAACAAAUCAACCCAUCGUAGAAAAUACCACCACAUCAUCACGCUAAAUCCACAACCAUGCCACCAACACCAACACCAUCGCACAGAGUACCACACCAUCUAUUGCACACACCCAACGACCACACCUACACCAUCACAAACGUACCCACAGCACACCAUCUUUGCACUCACUAGAGCUCUUCAUUUCCACCACCACACCACAAACCUCCACCUGUACAUCCACCGCCCCAUACCAACACCGCACAUAGCACCACAUCACUCGCCCAAUACUACAUCCAUUGCACAAUAGUAGCUCAUCACCGUCACACCCACUAGAGAUCUCCAUUCCCAUCACCGCAUCGCACACCUCUACCACUGAAGCAUCAAUCAUCACACCACUCAAAAAUAAAUUUUAAAAAAAAAGGAAGAAAGAAAGAAAGCAAAAAGAUCUGCUGGGAUGAGUAGUUGUCGGAUUGGGUGAAAUAAAGCAGUGUGAGAUUUGUAGCGUCACCUAGAGAUAUGCAGCGAUGAAGGCAGAGAUUGCUGUUGCAACAGCUGAUCUGAAAAUUUUAUGGGUUGUGGUAAGGUGGUUGAGCAUGAUGUUGGUGAGGUGGUGCCAACGGUGUGAUGGCGCUAACGAGAGUGGUGGCGGCGUCGAUGGCCAACUUGUGAGAAGAGAGAAGUUGGGAUGGAGAAAGAAGAGAGAAUGCAGAGGAUGAACAUGAUUAUGGUUUUGGUAUGUGUGGUUGUGUAGGAUGAAUAGGCUUUUACUACUUGUACAUAAAAAAUAUACAUAAUGGAUUACAUAAUAUGACGUGAAGGGAAAAGAUUUGAUGAAAAAGUCGAUCAUAUUUUAAAUUGGCAAAUGGCAGAGUGCCACGUGAUAUUAUGUAAUCUAUUAUGUAAAUUUUGAUGUACAUGUAGGAAGAUUCAUGUUGAAUAUGUAUAUUUAAUUUUGUAAUAUAAUUAUUAAUAAUUAAAAUAUAUUAAUUAAUUAACAAAACAUCUAAUAUUUGAAAUAGUAAACCUAACCUAUGAAAUAUAAAAUGGGAUCUCCAAAAUGUAUUAGUUCCUAUAGUUUUUUUUCCCACUUUAUCUAUAGAGUUGGAAGAAUUAUACUGUAAAGAAAUAAAUCAAUAAAUACUUAUAAUUAAAAUUUUUACUUACUCGAAAGAGCCCUCACCGUUUAGUUUUUCAUCAUUUUUUCCGCGAUAAAAUUCUAGCAAACUCGCCGGUGAUUUGUUUUGGUUUUUAGUAUGAGCAAAUGCAGUUCGGUAGCGGAAUCAGUAUGGAAGGAUAUCGAGUCUACUAAUUCAGGUCCAUUAGUUUUGAUUAAUUUCCAAUUGCUCCUUUCGAAUUUCAUAUCCGCUUUCAUUUUCAAUUUUCAUUUUUUCACCAUGUUUCUGUUUGUAUUAUCUGACUUUAACACAAUCCCGCGGUUUUGAUGGAAAUUACGAAAUGGACUCCCCCAGUGACCGAUGAUCAGCUUUCAGUGUUAGUAUCUCCAACUUUUUUGGUUUGUUUUUUCCUCAAAAUUUAGAAAUAUUCUAUUUCUUUCCAGUUAAGUGUGUAUAUGUAAGUAAACGGGUGACAAAUUAUUGUUGAUUUAUGUUACAGAUUGCAUUUUCUUUUUGGGAAGAAUCUGGAGAGAGCAACGCGGAUAAUUGAUCAAAGGGGUGUCAAGAGGAUUUCCGGCGAGCCCUGUGGCCGUUCUAUUUUCCAGGUAAACUAUGUUUCUUCUUCUUUUUAUCUUUUUCUUUCCCUCUUUAUUCAAUCAUUUCUAGGGCUUGUCGUUUGUCAAAGUUUGGACACUUGUUUCUGAAUUCAUUUGAGAUGAUUUUUCGAGCUUUAAAAUCGUGCCAUUAUUUUAAUUUGGAGCUGGAAUUGACUAAGGAUACAUUUGAUUGCAAAUUGAAUUGUCUAGAAAAUGAAUUUUAGGGAAUUGAAUUGCCUAUAAUUGUUUUACUGGGAAUUGUAAAUUAUUGUGUUUGAUUGGUAUAAUUUUUCACGUGGAAAAUAUUGAAAUAAAAGUGUUUUUUAAUGUUCGUUUGACUUUGUUUUACAUGAAAAUUGUCAAUUAAAGGAAAAUAUUUUUUUACAAUAAUUCUUAGAAUUAAUUUCUAUUACAAAAAAAUAAAAAAUAAAAAAAGCCGAAAAAAAUAAUAAUCGCUACAGUAGGGUGAAAUUUGAAUUCUCACCAUAUAUGGUGGGAAUUCAAAUUUCACUAAAACAAGGAAAAUUCCAAGUUUCAAGAAAUCCAAAAAAUGCAAUUCCAUAGAAAAUAUAAGGUAUCAAACACCAAAAGUUGGAAUUUUCAAUUUCAAUUCCAUCUUUUUUUUUCCAUUUUCAUGCUAUCAAACACUCCCUAAGUGAAUUAUUUUCUGUCAAUUAGGGUUUGUUUUAUGAUUUUACGAAAUUUACUUUCCCUAUCAGCAUAGAGCAACCAUCCCCUUCACUCAGUGUUGAGACUGAGUGUGAAAAAUAGAGAUAGAGUUAAAGUGAUGAUUAGAGUAAUUGUCAGUAAUGCUGGAUCAUAUUUCUACUUCCUUCUUUAAAUGCAAAAAUGUUGAUAUUCCAGGUUGUGGGAGAAUCCCGGAGGAAGGAGGAAUAUUUAUGCUUCCCUGAACACUAUUGUUCAUGUUAUUCAUUCUUCUAUGACAUUGUGAACAGAGGGGAACAACUUUGUGUAAUAUUUUCUUGCUGCUUCCAUUAUUUCCCAUAAUUUUAGUUAAUUCUUUCGAUGCUUAUUAUGUAGCUCAUAUGUUUAUGUGUGACCUUUCAGUGUAAGCAUCAACUAGCUGCAAGACUGUCGGCCUCAACUGGAGUAUGCAUUGAUGUGAAGGUUUCUGAUGAGGAACUUGCAUUCUUACUUUCCAAGCUUUGACAACUUUGAAGGACAAGAGAUUUUGCCUGUAGCAAUUGAGGUUAGAAAAAAUUUGAUGAGACUUUAAUUAGUUACCGUAUGUUAUGACUCUUUAACUAGUCACUAUAUGUUAUGACUCCAAGAAUUACUACUACUUAACAUUCGAGUUUCAUUGUUCAGUCAAAUUGAUUGAUUUUUGGAUGCUUGUCUGUUCAUAUUCUAAAUUCGGUUGUGCUACAUCUACACAAUAAGUUUACACAUACAUGAUAUAGUGAAAUAUGAUUGGAUCAGAAUUUUUUUAACUGAAAAAAAAAAAAUCCUCAACUGUAUGUAAACCAUUAUUUAACUGCUUAUGUACAAAUAACAUUAUUCUUCUAAAUUUUACAACAGCAUUAAGGUAGAACUUACUCUUAAAUUCUGGCUUGUUAUGUAUAGUGUCCAAGUGGUUAUAAAUCCACAAGCUAAGACUUAAACGUACCAAUGCAAACAGGACUCUAAUAGUGUCAUUAGAAUACCCCUCUCCUCCUAAAAAAAAUGUCCACAGUAGUCCAUACUUCCACUAGGUGACUUCGUGGAAUCAAUGUUCUACUCAAGUAGUCAUCUCCACUUCUCAUCCCAUCUGCAACGAGAGUCUUCUCCAGAAAGGUGGUCUAUUUCAAUAAAAAUCGUUACCACCACAUUGCAUACAACUCACUUUUAAAUCUGGCCUGUGAGAUGAGUGUUCCACUGUGAUUAUAGUCCACAAGUUAUAACUUAAUUUCAUGGUGUAGAAUGCAAUUAGACUCCUUACACCUGUUUAAAUAUGUAGGUAUAGCUUUGUGGUGUUAUUCUCAACUGUAGAUCUGGACUAUGGAUAAAUGUUUUAGAUAUAAGAAGUUUUAUUCUACUACAAAUUUUGGUUGACCAUUGGUAUAGUAGUUCUGAUGGUAUUUUUGUCCUUGAUCUUUGGACUAUCAGCCCAAUUGGCAUGAUAGUUUUGUAUGUAGACUCCUGGUCUAUUUUAUCGUUGCAGGAGUCAGAAAUGGCCUUCCACCUAGAGAGCGUCAAUUCCUGCCUAAUUUCAACAACCUAGAUGAAAUAAUCAUCAUUCCUGCGUUUGGAAUGGUUAUGACAAAAUCAGAAGGCAAAUUGAACCUUUCCGGUUCAGAAUAACAAGUUCUGACCUGCAACUUUGUUGCAUCUUCCUCUUACCAAUCCCUUUUCUAACAUAUUCUGCCGAGAUUUUUUAAUUUGAAUCUGUGAUCGUGAAGUCGUGAACCUCUUUGAAACUAUGCAAACAUGCUUGAAUCACGUAAAUAGUUCUUCCCACUUUGAUUCCUGUACUAAAUAUUAUUCAAGCAAGAUCAAACAACACUCACGGUACCAGUAUAAAAUUGACGAGCCUAAAUCAGAAAACCAUAUUUUACGUGUUCCACUAUGCAAAAACUUUCAUCCAUCACCAUUCCCUUUUUAUUCUUAAUAAACGUCAUAAUUAAUAACUACAUUGUAACUCAAAUUGAGUAAUGAUUUAAGAAAAAAAUGUUUCCUUUUCGGAAUUAUUCUUCUCUUUGCCCCCAACAUUCUUUAAGGGCCUGUUUGGGAUAGCUUUUCAGAAGUCAAAAGGAGCUUUUGUGGUUCAAAAGUGCUUUUGGACCCGUUUGACUAAUUUUAUAAAAUGACUUUUUCUAAUUGGAGAGGAAGCCACUCCUCUCCAGAAAAAGACAGGAAGUCAAUUUUCUGGUUUAAUGAAAAUUUAAAAUUUCAAUAUUACCCUUACAUUUGUAAAGAGCAAAAUGAAAUUCCAAUCGUGUCCUAAGAAUUCACAACCUUUUCAAUACUCUUCAUAUUCUUCUCCAAUCCCUUUCUUCAGUUUGUGUCUUCAGGAAUUCCUCUCAUCUCUUGGUAAGAUUUUGCAGUUUACCUUCAAUUUCUUAUCAUUUUAUUUUGCAACAACAUUAUUUAUCUACAACACAUGGGUUAACUACAAGAGAUUCAUAUCAUUGCCUUUUUUAUUUUUCUUUUCUGGGUUUUAUUCAAGAAAUGACGGGUUUAAUGAGAAUUUAUCUGGGUUUUUUAAUGUGCCUUUGGUUUUCCAAGAUGGGUUUGUGAUUGGGUAUUCUUGUUCAUCUACAUGCGGCCAAUUGAUGUUAAAGUAGGAAUUUCUUUUAUCAAUGACAUUUUCAUUUUGCCAUAGGCAUUUCAUUUUCUUCGAAUUUCUUGUUUCCGAGUGCUGCUGAGUGGUUUUGUUUAAUGAAUGAAUGCUUGUGCAGUGUAUUUACAUAUAAAGUGAGAAAGCAGAAGUUGGGAAAAUCAUUUUUAAAUGAUUGCAACUAUGGAUUUAAUAUGAAAUCAGUAAAGACAAACUUCUGAGUGUGAUUAUUUUUGCUAUGAUAAGGAAUUUUUAAUUGAACAUUUUAAGAAAAAUGACUCUGACUUUUAUAUAUUAUCUUAAUUGAAAUCAGUAAAGACAGACUUCCGCAUCGGCCAAAUAAGGAAUUUUUAAUCCCACAAGUUACACAAAAUGUAUACUAUGAUUAUACUCUAAAUACAUAAUUCAUUUACCUGUCAGAAAGGAAAUGAAUGGUUAUCAUAUUUUUGCCAUGAUUGAUUCAAUAUCUUUCAUUGAUUAAAACAGCAUAUACUCAUGUCCCUGUUUCUCUAGAUUUUCUGAUUGAAUCUCUGGUAUAUUCGCCAUUUAUAAAGCAAGAAUAUUGAGGAGCAAUUAACUGUAAAUAAAACAUUUUUAAAUGUAGAUGGCAACUGAGGGGAUAAAGGGAAAAUCAAAAGCAAUUUGGGAUGCACGAACACAUGAGAUUUGGGUUGAUGUAGCUGUAGAACAAGUGAGGGCCGGUAACAGAAAUGGAACACACUUGAGCAAAGAGGGUUGGAAACUUUUUACUGAGAACUUUAACAAAGCAACAAAUAGAGAUUAUGAUAGGAAACAACUAAAAAAAUCAUUGGGAUGUAGUAAAGAAAGAGUGGCAGCUAUGGGAUGCAUUGUUAAGAGGAGAAACUGGACUUGGAUGGGAUAUGGAAAGGCAAACUAUAGAUGCUCCAAAUGAAUGGUGGGUUGCAAAACUACGACUAAGAUUGUGUUUGAUUACAUUUAUUUUCCAUGGAAAAUAUCAGUUUUCCAUCCAAAUUCUUAUUUGAAGUGUUUGAUUGCUAUUUUUUUUCUUGGAAAACAUUUUCCAACUUUUGAAAAUAUGUCUAAUUUUCCUUGUUUUUAAGGAAAAUAUUUUCCUUAGGUAGAGGUGAUUUUUAUUUUUCACAAAAGAUGGAAAAUAUUUUCUUUUCUAGGUGAUAUUUUCCAUAUCAAUCAAACACACUUUAAGUGUUUCAAUUUUCUUUAUUUAAGUAUAAUACACCAAAUUAUAUAAUAUUUCUAGGAUUCUAAAUUAUUUAAUAGAAAUAUCCGGAAGCUACAAAAUAUCGUGUGCAGGGCUUAGAUCAUGCAUUCAAAUUAGAUGAAUUGGUUCGCGAUGUCAUAGCCACCGGAGCAAGGGCUUGGGCACAUUCAUCUGGUGUAAUGCAUCCUUUAUAUUCACAAAAUACAACUAUUACUGAAGAUGAUGAUUCUGCUGAAAAUGAACACUUCGAUGGUGACAAUGAGGAAAUAGGGCAUAGCAUUCGCCAAGAUAAAUUGGUUGAGCCAACUAGGAAGCGACUAAGGAAGGGAAAAAAUAAGCAAUCAACAACAACAAAACUAUGCAACCAACUUCAAGAACUUCGUGAAGCUGUUAAAAAUAGGAGCUCCUAUAUACGCACCGAUCCACCUGGAUGUAGUGUUCAAGAGGUUAUGGAUAAGUUGGCUACACUUCCAGGUUGCGAACCAAUGACUCCUCUUUUCAAGCUUGGAUUGGACCUAUUCACAAAGAAAGCAAAUAGAGAGAUUUUUGUAGCUUUAAAGGAACUCAAAUAUCAAAUUGAAUGGUUGAAGGAUCAACAAUACCAACUUUGAAAUAUUUAUCUUAGGGUUAAAGUAAUAUAUGUUGACACGUUUAUUUUGGCAAAAUCUACUACUUUUCUUAUUUGUAAUCUAUGUGAGACUUGUGUUAUUUGAAGGUAAUAUAGAGUUUAUGUUAUUGUAAGGCAUUCACUUGAUGAAUUUAUUUUGUGAAAUUAUAUUAUUUUAUGAAUGUUUAUAUGAUUAUAGAAUGAAUGACGAUUUAGAUGAAGAGCUACAUGAAGAAUACAUAAAUCAAGUUAUGAGAGAUGAAACAGAUUUUAAUGAGCUUGUCCUUACUACUGCAGCUACAAUUGUGCAACAUCAUAACACUUUUUUGGUAAAAGAACCAUGUAGGGAUUCCUCUCAUACAGGAAUGAAGUUUGUUAUGGAGAUUCUUAAUGGAAAUGAUAGGCGAUGUCAAGAGAUGUUUCGAAUGGAGAAACAUGCAUUUUGCAAAUUAUGUGACAGAUUAAGAAGUUAUGGGUUGUGUUCAAGUAAAGGAGUGCAAUUAGAAGGGGCAGUAUGUAUGUUUUUGAUGACAUUGGGACAUGGUGUUGGUAAUAGGAUGAUUCAAGAAAGGUUCCAACGUUAACAAUGAGUAGACAAUUUGGGAUUGUACUAGAAAAAAAUGAUUAAUCCCGCUUUACAAGAAAUUAGACCACUUGAUAAUUAUGAUGAAGUUCCCCUUUAUAUUAGAUCAAAUCCUAAGUAUUGGCCUUAUUUUAAGGUAAUCUAGAUAAUAAAUGUUGAAAUAUCAUAUUUCGUUUGAAAACAUUAUUCUAAUUAUUUUUGCUUUAUUUCUUUUAUUUUAUUUUCUUUUGAUAGGAUUGUAUUGGAGCAAUUGAUGGAACGCAUAUUCACGCAUCACUUCCAACGAAUGAGCAAAUCCCCUACAUUGGUAGAAAGGGAUAUCCUACCCAAAACAUUAUGGCCGUGUGUAGUUUUGACAUGCUAUUCACCUUUGUGUGGCCAAGGUGGGAAGGAACAACACAUGAUACACAUAUAUUUUGGGAAGCUCUAUGAAGCAUUGAUCUAAAAUUUCCUAAACCAUUGGAUGGUUUGUGAUUUUUAUUCAUAAACAAUUUUUAUAUAAUUUGGUAACAUCAUAAGGUCUUUACUCCUAUUGAUAUUUGAAUUGAAAAUUUUGCACAUAAAUACUACUUGGUUGAUGCGGGCUAUCCAAAUAUGAAAGGUUAUUUAGCUCCAUAUAAGGGAGAAAGAUACCAUCUUCCUGAUUUUAGGCAUGGUAGUCAACCUAGAGGAUCUCGAGACGUUUUUAAUCAUGCACAUUCCUCACUACAAAGUGUUAUUGAACGUUGCUUUGGGGUAUGGAAAUCGCGAUGGAGAAUAUUAAAACAUAUGCCAAAUUAUGAUUUUGAUAAGCAAGUAGCUAUUGUUAUGGCUUCAAUGGCACUGCAUAACUUUAUAAGAAGGGAGGCUAUAGUUGAUUUGAAAUUUCAAAAAUACAAUGAGAAAGAAGAUUAUUUGCCUGAUGAUGAAGACUCAAAUAUAAAUUCGACUGUUGAUGAGGGUGAAAUGAGAUUUAUUUGCGAUAGAAUUGCUAAAGAGCUUGUUGUCACGGACCUAGUUUCGUUACACCCGAACAAACUAAAACCGUGCGGCCUUAACGUUCUAUAAUUCCCGCACCUCACGAGAAAACGUUAAGUCAGCCUUUCCACGCCCACAAAUAAUUUAACCAAUGAGGCUAAAUUAUACCCACGUUGAGAAGAGAAUUUUGAAGUAAGUAAUAUAUGGAAAACAAGUAAGAAUGGGGAAACUUUCUUUGUAUAAAUGAAAGGAAAAAUUUUACAAUCUCUCUAAAGAAUAAACUCACUUCACUCUACAUUCUCUACCAUCUACUACAUACCAUUUACAAAUGAGACUACAUCUCUAUUUAUAGGCAAACUUAAACCUCUUUAACAUUCCACUUUACAACUCGUACUUAGUUGUCACCACCUCGUGCUUAGUUGUCGCCAACUCCUUCUUAGUUGUCAUCAAGUGAAUGGUCUUACAACUUGCCUUGCAAGUUGUCGCCAACUCGUGCUUAGCUUGCAUACAACUCGCACUUAGCUUGCAAGUGGCACACAAGUGGACAAAUUGUGCAAGUUGCCCACUUGCAUCUUCAAAAUAUCCGACUGCAGGUUCAUGUAUUUUACCUCCCAAAAUGGCUGGGUCGGGACUUAGAAAAACUUCAUUAACGCCCUGAAAAACUGUACGAUCUAGGCAGUCUGCAUUCUGUCCCAAAACAAUCUACUUGCGUCCCCAGCUCGAAUCUACCUACGACCUUUGCCGAAUCUGCCUGCGUCCCCUAUCGCAAGCUGUUCCGUCCUUCUGAAACGCGUUACCCGCGUUAUCUUGCGAUCGCUACCGGGACGGAUCGAAUGCGAUCGUGUGAGGCGUAAGACACUCUCCCACUGAAUUUGGCGACGCACUCAUCACCAUAUAUCGUCGAAGCAUAGACCUUAUUUGCCAUAAGUCUAUCUCAUUUUCCCACCUUGUGCCAUGGCAUUCCCGUGUCAUGCCAAGCUUUAAGUCAUGAUCUUGCGAUCCGUGACAUUCUUCCCUACUCAAUCCGCUAACGUCCUCGUAGCGAAACGUGUUCGGUGCAUCCUCAUGCAACCUUGCAUUGUCUUCCACGUCCAUGAGCAUCAAAGUUCUCCCAACUUGCGGCACCAUCUCCUUGAUGACCGGGUUUCCACAGUGCCCCUUGCACCUCUUCUCGUUGCAACAUCUUGCAUGCCACCUUUGACACCAACCUUCACUCUCAGCACCUCUGCCUUGAUUCCUCGGAUGGACAACUCCUCCGAUUGUAGUGUACCCACACCUGUCGAAGCUUUAAACCUUUGUGCACCCAAUUUCGGACUUCUUUGAUAAUGCUUCCUCACUUUCCUUAUUUAUCAGUAGUUCCCUCGGCAACUCCGCCAGCAUAAUGUCCUUAUCAUCUUCAAGGACUUCCGCUAACUGCAUCCCUGACAGUUGUUGUGUUUCCAUCCCCACGAAAACAUUUUCAGCACUCAUAGCAUUAAACAACUGCAAUGAAUUCAUUUGAACUUCAUCCUCAUCUUGGCUAUCUAUGGCCUUCGGUUUGCUCUUCGAAAUGGAAAUAGAUGCCAAUGAUCCUAAAUUAGGACAAUCCCUCAUGAGAUGUGGUCCUUUGCAAAUAAAGCAACCUCGAGGUGUAAAAUUACUCCUCUUCUUGUCCUCAUACUACUUACUCCAAGUAGUUGGUUUGCCAACGGGUUUGUAAUCAAUUUUGGGAUUUGGCCUCCAAUCCGGCUUACUGGCGGGUUUAAUAGUUUUAGCUUCGGUCUCAAGAUUUUCUUCAAACUCCGUCAAGGAUUUGGCUACUGCAAUGGCCUCGUCUACGGUUUUAACAUCACGACGUUGUAACUCUUGUCGCACCCACGUUGUACAACCAUCUAGAAAAUAGAAUAGCAUAUCCUCCGGCAUGGUUAGGAUUAGAAGCAUAAGGGUCGUGAACUCUUUGACAUAGUCACGAAUUGUUCUCGUAUGUUUCAAUUCCCUCAAUUUCUUGCGCGCCUCAUAGACGACAUUCUCCGAGUAGAAUUGCCUCUGUAUUCCCCUUUUGAACUCAUCCCAAGUAUCAACCUUACAAGCCCCCUUUGCGAUUUCGACAUGCUUACGACGUCACCACAACGCCGCAAUAUCCGAGAGAUACAUAAAAGCAGUUCGAACUUUCAUGGCUUCAUCAACAAGAUUUACGCCUUCAAAGUAAACUUCCAUUUGCCAUAGGAAGUUUUCCACAUCUUUGGCAUCACGUUGCCCAUCAUAAUGUUUAGGCUUCGGGUAUUCAAUCCUCGGGGCAACAAUAGUUGAAGCGGCACCUUCGCUUGUACCGGCAGUGGAGUGCUUGUAUUGAUCAAGCUCCUUACUCAUUCUUUCCAUCAUCACGACCAAUUGGUUAACUUGGCCUUGCAUAGCAGUAAAGACAUCCAAGACUUUGGUUUGGAGACGACCAAAAUCAUCCAUCACCGUGGCUUGUCCAGCUACCACAGCUCGAACAUCAUCUCUCAUCGUUUGGACAUCAUUUUUCAAUGAUGCUUGUGUGUCCAUCACCUCUUGGACAUUAACUUGUAGAGUUUCUAUCUUUCCAAUGGCGUGUCCCUCCAACGCCUCGAAUGAGUUUUCAAGAGAUUCGACCCGAUCACUCAUAUUUGAGAUGAUUUGGUCAAGUUUCCCUUCCAUGUGGGUGGUUUCCCUCACCUUACUUUUCCCUCUAGUUUUCCUUACUUCAGUUUGGGUAGCACCUCGGCCCCUCUCCUCAAUCUCAAUAUCAACAGUUUUUUGAGAUUCCGCCAUUUGAGCACCUCACCCAAAUCCAGCUUCCAAGAAUCUCCGACGAAUCUGGCUACCACAGCCGCACUUGGUUACCACUACCAAACCUUCGCCUUGAUACUGCUUCCGUAGUCCACAUCACGUGAACUUAUCACGGACGUCACCUCACCUCAGAGAUGAAAAAUUGGUUCAACCCUACGUGAACCUUGCUCUGAUACCACUUGUCACGGACCUCGUUACACCCGAACAAACUAGAACCGUGCGGCCUUAACGUUCUACAAUUCCCGCACCUCACGAGAAAACGUUAAGUCGGUCUUUCCACGCCUACAAAUAAUUUAACCAAUGAGGCUAAAUUAUACCCACGUUGAGAAGAGAAUUUUGAAGUAAGUAAUAUAUGGAAAACAAGUAAGGAUGGGGAAACUUUCUUUGUAUAAAUGAAAGGAAAAACUUUACAAUCUCUCUAAAGAAUAAACUCACUUCACUCUACAUUCUCUACCAUCUACUACAUACCAUUUACAAAUGAGACUACAUCUCUAUUUAUAGGCAAACUUAAACCUCCUUAACAUUCCACUUUACAACUCGUACUUAGUUGUUACCACCUCGUGCUUAGUUGUCGCCAACUCCUUCUUAGUUGUCAUCAAGUGGAUGGUCUUACAACUUGCCUUGCAAGUUGUCGCCAACUCGUGCUUAGCUUGCAUACAACUCGCGCCUAGCUUGCACGUUGAUAAUAUCUUUGCCAACUCGUGCUUAGCUUGCAUACAACUAGCACUUAGCUUGCAAGUGGCACACAAGUGGACAAAUUGUGCAAGUUGCCCACUUGCAUCCUCAAAAUAUCUGGUUGUAGGUUCAUAUAUUUUACCUCCCAAAAUGACUGGGUCGGGACUUAGAAAAACCUUAUUAACGCCCUGGAAAACUGUACGAUCUAGGCAGCCUGCAUUCUGCCCCAAAACAAUCUACUUGUGUCCCCAGCUCGAAUCUACUUGCGACCUUUGCCGAAUUUGCCUGCGUCCCCUAUCACAAGCUGUUCCGUCCUUCUGAAACGCGUUACCCGCAUUAUCUUGCAAUAGCUACCAGGACGGAUCGAAUGCGAUCGCGUGAGGCGUAAGUCACUCCCCCACUGAAUUUGGCAACGCACUCAUCGCCAUAUAUCACCGAAGCAUAGACCUUAUUUGCCAUAAGUCUAUCUUAUUUUCCCACCUUGUACCAUGACAUUCCCGUGUCAUGCCAAACCUUAAGUCAUGAUCUUACGAUCCGUGACAUUGUGCUUAGAUGAACAUUGUUUUCUUAUUGUUUCCAAUCUAAAAUUGUUGCAUUUAAAUUUAUAUUUUAUGUAAUUAAUUAUUUUUGUUUUAUUUUUAAUGUUGCUUUCUUGAUCAAUUGGUGCAUUAUUGAACUAUCAAAAUAAUAAUCUCUUCAUACAAAUUCAUUAGUAGUUGACAAAUGCAUUUCUAGCUUCCUUUCACAGUCUACUCUUUUUUUAUUGCCGUAGAAGAGAAUUUACAUAUUUUAUGCCAAAUUUUCUUUAGAUUUGAAACGAGCUCUAUUCAUUUUGGUGAAUUUGUAUAAAAACUGUCAAACAACCUUUUUAGUGUAAUUAAAAUUAAAAUUUUAGUAAAUUUUGAUAGAAAAUGAUAAAUAUGUAAUUAAAAAAUUGAUAACAAUUAUGAAUUACAUAAAAUAUGUGAUUAAAAUUAAUUGUUAAGUCACUAACUUCAAUUUAAAUUGUUGUUUUUAUUUAAUUUGACUAUAUAAUUUAUAUCUAUGCUUUACUAAUAAAAUUUUAAUAUGAUAAUUAAAGUAAUACAUUCUCAUCAUUAAGGGUAAAAAUGACAUUUUUAAUGCCAUAAUAGCUUUUGGCAUGAUCAUACCAAACACAAGUAAAAGCUCUUCCGGAAGAAAAAAGCUCUUUUAAAAUUGGUUAUCAAACACUAACUCAAAAGCCCGGACUUCUACUUCUCUUCUUCUACUUGUCACAAGCAUAAGCAGAAGCUAUCUAAAUCAAAACGGAAGACAUUAAACACGCUACAACACACCAAGAAAACACAAGUAUCAAACUGAGGAAGCAAACAAAUACAACAAAAACGCAUAGAAGAAGAUCAAGUUAAGCGACGAUCUUGUAGGCUUUCAACUUGUCAAUCCAUGAAAUGAAUGAAUUCUUAGAAUUCCGGAAUCCCAGAAAACCGUGCUCCUUGCUCUUGUUCAUGGUAUCCAAUAAACAUUUCAAGCUAAGCAUAGUAUCGGCAAACCACCAAACCCCGACAUCCUCCAAUUUAGUAGGUGUUAAUCCAUUCUCCCGCACAAUUUCAUCCCAGACCUUCCCUUUAUCCUUCAUCAUCUCCAGCAGUGUCAGAUUCUUCCCCUCCUCAAACUCUUCAUAUUCCAUCCCGAAUUGCUCAGCCAAUAUCCUCCAGAAAUGUUUCCACUUGAAAACAUCCCCAUUGCUGAUAUUGAACGCUUCAUUCCUAGCAUAGGGAUCCACUGCCGCCCAUAUCUGAUGUUCAGCAAUCAAAUCUGCAUCAGAACAAUCGGAAUAUCCAUCCCACACAACCUUACUUCCUGGAAACCUCAAUGGCAUACCCUCGUGCUUACAUAUGGAGGCAUAAACACAUAGGGUAGCAACUAAGUUCAUCAUACUAAAUGGAGAGAAUCCAAAUAUUAUCCCUGGCCUAUGAAUCGACCACGUCAAUCCCUCCUUCUUUUCCACCUCCUCGAACAGGAUAUCCUCAAGAGUAUAGUAAAAAUUCGGGCAAUCCAAACGUGGCAAAUCCUCGUGGAAAGGAGGAUCGUGAGGUCUUAUCUUUCCAAAGGAUUCAAAUGAACCAAUGUAAUGCUUCCUUCCUGUUUGCAAACAAAUAUGCUUCAAAUUAGGACAAUUGGUGAUAACUGCAUCAAGCACAUUCUUUAACAUUUUGCCAUUGGCUUUGCAAUUCUCAGCCUCCGUGGAUCUAUUGGUCCAUGUGACAUAGAAGAUGUGUGUGACAUCCGUUAGCGGUGACAGCUUUGCUUGAGCAUCCUCAUGAUCUGAGAUGUCGCAUCGGAUGUAUUGAAUUGGAUUGUCAUCAUUCCAAGACGGCUGGGGACGGCGGGCAACGCCGUAGACCUUCCAGGGGCCGCCGGGGGUAUCGGCGAGCGGGAGGAUUUCCGCCAGACUGUUGCCCACGAUGCCGGUGACACCGAUUACUAGAGCCACGCUAUGAUGUUUGAUCGUUGCCUCAUCUUCUUCGAAUUUUUUCUGUUUCAAGAUCAAAUCAUACAAGGGUUUUAACCGCUAGAAACUACUCAUAUCCACACACACAUAAAUAGACGCACAUACAAUCCGUAUACAGAUGCUGAAUAUAUCUGAUAUGAAUAAACUUACCUUUGCAGCGCCAAUAGCUCCGGCCCACCACCAACUCAUUUUUAGCAACAGCGGUUGCGAAUUCUGUGUUUGUGAGAGAGAGCGCGAGAGAGAGUAGUCUCUGUUUCUUUGGAGUGUGAUAAACCACAAAAUGAGAGAGAGAGAGGCUUCUACUAGUCUCUGUCAAAAUGAUUAGCCCUUGUUUGAUCCAAUCAUUUGGUCAAGAAUGCAUUUUAAAAUAGUAGAUUUAAAAUAAUAAAUAGAUGAAAAAUGUAUUAUUAAAAAAUAAGAAAAAAAUUAAAUUUAUAUGUAAUAUUAUUUUAUUGAAUAACAUGUGAUUGAGAAAAAGAGAGAAUAUAUUUUGAAAACAACUUAUAUCAAACAAGGUCUAGAUAGGGUCAAGACUGUAUAUGCCGAUUUUUUUGUUGUUGUCUGUUUGGAGAAUUAAUCCUUAUUGGCCUCUUGAAUUAUUGGUAUUCGUAAAUAAAUAAUAUUUUAUUACAUUAUAUGUGCAUAAAAAUUUAUAAAUUUAUUUAUCAACGUAUUAUAUGAUGAGAUAUGAUUGAGUGAAAAUUUCGUUAACGGAAAAAUGUUCUUCCACCUUUUUUGUCAUUAACCCACGUUACAUAAGUAUGCUGUUUAAGUGGUGAAGAAAUUUUUUGAUAAUUUUAAUUUAACUUAUAAGUGCUUGUAAAUAAAUAAUUUUUUAUUACACUAUAUGUGCAUCAAAAUUUAUAAAUUUAUUUAUCAAUAUAUUAUAUAAUGAGAUUUGAUUGAGCGAAAAUUUCGCCAAUGGAAAAAGUUCUUCCACCUUUUUUUUUAUCAUUAACCCACAUUACGUAAGCACAUCAUUCAAGUGGUGAAGAAUUUUUUUGAUAAUUUUAAUUUAAUUUAUUGUCACCUCUUCAAUCUAUAAAGGAUGAAGUAUAAAAAAUAUUUUUCAAUAAUUUUUAAUCUGAUGUAACUUUUUUAGAAGUAAGAGAACAUUCAAUAUAAGUAAGGAGAAUAUGAUAAGCUACCCGUCAUAUGUUUUUGGAUAAUAAAUUAAAAUAAUAUUUUUUUGAUGGAAAUAUGGUUAAAAAUUAGAGAAAUGUUAUGAAUUUAUGUACCAAACAUGGGCUACAUAAGCUUUUCAGCGUGUCAAAUGUUACGAGCAUGGAUAGAAUGUCGUGCGAAGCAACUUCUUUAAGAAAUGUUUUGAGAAGCUUGUAUUUUAUUUUAUUUUUCGCAUCAAUGAUCUAAUAAAUUGUCAUUUCUAUCGCUUCAAAUUGGAUUUGAUCUAUUGAACAUGUAGUUAAAAAAGGUGUCACGUAUGAACAUGUAAAAAAGACAAAUAAGAUCCUAAUUUAUUUAUUCAUUUUUAAAUAAGAAGUUAAUAAGAAUUCGUUCCACAUUAUUACAAAAUAAUUUUAAAUGAAAUAAUUAGAUAGAGGUGAACGUGCAACCAAUCUAUGAACUUGAUAAAAUUGCUUACCAACAAGCUACAUAUUUAACCGUUUGUGUCGUUAGUUUCAUGAAAAAAUUUCCCUUGAUUGGCAAAACAAAGAAAAUAAGAGAAAUUUUCAGUUUUAUAUUUUUGGAACUUAAGCGUGUCAUGUAUCUUCCGUCACUUGUGAAUAGUCACUUGUGAAUAAUGAUCACUCCUCUAAUACUACGAUAGAUAUAGGGAUGUCAACGAGUCGAAAGUUUCGGCUCGAGCUCGACUCGAUUAAAAUUGUCGAGCUUUUUUUGGGGCCCGAGGCGAACAAAAGCUCGCCCAAAAAUUUUAGGCACGACUAGGCCUUUUUCUAUCUUUCUCUCUCUCUUUUUUUUAAAUAUAUAUAUAAUUUAAGCUACUGCCUUUUUUAAGGCAGUUUUUGCUAAAAACUUGCGAGCUCACGGGCCGGCUCGGGCAAAGCCCGUGUCCCCAACAUGGAGCUCGGCCCGAGCUUAGGCUCGGGUCUACCAAGCCUCGAGCCGAGCCGGCUCGGGCUUUUCGCGGGUCGAGCGACGGGCGGCCCGAGUCAACGAGCCCAAUUGACAUCCCUAAAUAGAUAUGAUUAUAAUUCAAAUUUCAACAUAAUAUAAAUGAUAUAAGGGUUUUUGUUAGCCCGAAUAUCAGCGAGAGUUAAAUUAAAUUAAUGAGACUUGAUCUUACAAUCUUAUGAUAUAAACUAUUUUUAGUAUUAAAAUUAAGCAAUUUUCUCAUUAGAUCUUAGAAAUUGUAAUGUGUGUAAUGUGACUUGAGCCUGUUGACCAGUAUUAGGUUUGACGGUCUAUCCUUUUUUUUUUUUUUUUUUGGUCGGUUUUCGAGAUGUACAAGUAUAAAUGAGAAGGCUUUCGAGUUUAUUAAUGAUCUCAACUGUGUCUUGUACGAUAAGCUUUCCUUCGGGCCUCAAAAUCCGAUCAGCCUCCGUAACCAGGGCCAUGAAAUUACACCUGAGACCCGGAAUUCAAAAUAACUAGAAGAAAGCAUAUAAACUUAAGCAUCAAAUCUAGUUAAUUGAGUCUUAUGUACACACUUGUUUUUAAUCUUUGAAAAGAGAUGGUCUGCAUACGAUUCACAACAGUCAUGAUAAAUUCCAAAUAGACCUCGUUCAUAAAUAAUCGGUAGAGUAUCAGGAGCAUCUAUGGAGACAACGUUCAUAACCCACAACUUCAUAUCUUUAAGAGCAGCAGCAAAUCCGCAGAGGGAUCACCAUCACUUAGUACAAGCCGAAUGGCAACCAAACAUGCUAUUUAAUUACAGAAAUAAUGGUAUAAAUGUAACACUCCAAAUUUUAAAUUUUUAAUUUCAUGUAGGCUAAAUUUAAUGUUGAUAAUUUAGCAAAUAAAAUAAUCCAUGUCCAACAUUUUCGUAACACUAAAGACCAAACGUUGAAGUGAUAAACAUGUCUCACUUAUUUGCAUAAAUGGUUUAUUUUGCAUACGUAUAUUUUUGAAAUUAUCGUAAGUUAUUUGGGUCGAAUAUUUAAAUAUUUCAAAAGUUGAUAAAAUACAUCGAUAUUAUACUCAUUUUGUAGCUCGUGCCAAAUAACAUAAAUUGGCUCAAGAAGAAAUAAUUUUGAGCUAGCCAUAAUCGAAUUAUCUUGAUAGAAAGAAAAUUAUUCUAAUCCUAUAUUUUAUUAAUAAAAGAUAUAUAAUGACAGAUAUAUGUUAAAAUAGUAAAAUUUUAAAUGGUAAAAUGAAGAUGGGAUGUUUUUGGAAUUGAAAACAUAGAUAUCAACCACUUUUAAUUAAUAUUAAAAUUGAUCAUUUCAACUCCCAUCAAUGAAUAAUAAUUUACACACUCACCAUGAUUGAUUAAUGUAAAGAAUAGGCUAUUGAAUUCACACCUAUAUAUAUAUAUAUAUUGAGAGGUGUUUUUUCCCCUUACAUUAGAGAUGGAAAUCGAACUCAUCGACUCGGGCGGCCCGUUGCUCGGCUUGGAAAAAGCUCAAGCCCGCUCGGCUCGAGGCUCGGGAGAAUCGAGCCAAGACUCGGGUCGAGCCCCAUUUUGGGAUGUUGGGCAGAGCUUCCAGCUCGGUUUGGAAAGGCCUGAGUCGAAAGCUCGAGUCGAGCCUAAUUUUUUUGGUUGAGCUUUUGCUUGGCAUGACUCGGGUCCAAAAACAAGCUCAAAUCAUUUUUACCUGAGCCUAGCCCGAGCCAGCUAGGCUCGACUCGUUGACAUCUCUACCUUACAUACACACGUGAAAACACAUAUUAAAAGAGAUAUUAUUUUAUUUACAAGCCAUUUUCAGAUUUAUUUUUAAAUUUUUAUUUUUAUUUUUUUUUGAGUAGCAAAUCAAGGUAAGAAAUGUGCAAAUGAUUAAUUUUUAUUCUUGGUAUUUUUAUAGAAUUUUGGCAUGAAAUACGUUAAGGUCUUUGGGUCGAUUUUUAUGUUGAAUCCUACGGGAUUGACCGUUUAGUCAAGUAUGUAAAUCCUACGGGAUAUUUUUAUAUUAAAAGAAUAUGCACGUUUUUCUUACUGGGUAUUCUUUUUAAAAAAAUACCCACUCUUACUAUAUUUUCAAAUUAGAACGGGUCGUGUGAACGCGUGACGGAUUGAUCGAGUGAUGCUCAUGGGUCACCAAGUAAAAUUUCUAGAAAUAAUAAUUUACAAAGAAAUCUCAUUUGAAAAACACAUUUAUGUUUUUAUAAGAUUAUUUGCCAAUUUCUAUUUUAAGAAUAACUUUAUUUUAUGUUUAAUUUCGUGCAUAUUAUCUUAGUAGAUUUGAUAUUUAAGUUAUUUAACAUGUUCAAUUGACAGUUUAGUUCGUAAUAUUUUAAGUUAGAUAAACUUCAAAUUUUUAUUUGAAUUGUUGAAUUUACCUUAUUGAUUUAAUACCAAAAUUUAUACAUUAGUGUUAAAUUCCGCUUAAAUUAUAAAAGAAAGAUUUUGGUAACACUUCAAAUAUUUUAAAAAGAAACAAAAAAUAAAAAAAUAAAUGUCUAGUGGAUUUGGGACAUUAUAGUUUGAUACAUAGCCCAGAUUUAUCUUUUUGGAGAUCGAAAAAAAAAAAUUAUAUCAUUAUGCGUAAUUUUAAAUUUUGUUAAGUGAAUUUUGGUAGCCCCAAUAUCUAGACUAUGGUUUUAUGACUGAGUGUAUUAAAAAAUAAAUAAAUAAAUAAAAUUGGUUGAGAAACAUGAUUAGUUGAAUUCUGCCAUCAAUUUAUGAAAAAGUUUAAUUACUUCAUCUUCCCAUGAUUCUUAUAUAAUUAAUGUUCUAAAAUCUUACUAUCGUUAAAUGUCCAUGGGCUUUGAGUUUUUAAGCAAACACGUGUAAAUGAAUAGAGCAUCCUAUAAGUUGUUUGUUCAUUUUAUUUCUUUUAUGGUCCAGUCAUUGUACCUUUAAUGCAAGCUAGCUGUAUUAAAAAAAAAAAAAAAAAAAUGAUUAAGCACUAUGGUUUAUUUAAGUUUUUAUUGAUUUCUUGCCAUUACGGUCACUGUACAUUGUGAAUCGUUAAAAUGGUAAAAGUCUUUUCCAAAAUAUUUAAUUGUACAAUAUUAGUUUCUGUUCUAGUGAAUGUAGAUAAGUGAAAAAAAAAAAAAGUUGUUCACAUGUUUAAUUUUAAGUUCUAUAUGUGAUGUGAUUUUAACUGAAACUUAAUCAAGUAUUAAAAUAAGACCCAUGACAUUUAGUGCUUGUCAAUCAGCUACCAUCUGAUGAACCAAAGGUAUAAACGAAAUGUUAUGUUUAAGCUUACCUUCAAGCAUGAUUUAUGAAGUAUUUAAACUUGAUUUCAAGAAAUGCUUAUAAUGUUUAGAAUGAAAUAUGUUAUGCAUGCUAUUAUUUUAUUAUACAUGAAGGUAUAUGAAUUAACAAUCCUAUUAAAGCCAUGAGAGCGUAACAUAUACGUCGAUGUUACUGCAAAAAUAAAUAUGAUUGGACCCUUAUGUGACAGACAUGAUUAGAACUUAUGAGACCGCUAGAAAGGCCACAGCUUAUAGAGCAGUAUUAAACCGUAGGUCCAUCAUUCAAUCUUAUGAGAAUUAUGUGACUGACCCAACCACUUGUCGAACACGUGCAAGACAUCUAUGAAAGAUGUAUGGCAGCUAUGGAGGCAGGACUGGAGAUCACGCAUACUGAGACUGUGAAUAAUCUCAUACACUCAUUUCCAUCUCAAUGGGGAGACAUGGUAGUUGUGGUUAAGGAUGAGAUGUUAGAAGGUAACCCCCCAGAGCAUCCAAACGUGAUUGAGUUUGGUAUAUAUUGUCAGACCCUUCUAGACAGGCGGAGUAAAAACUUAGAACCCCAAUUGGAGAUAAGGAAUGAGCUUGGUGAUGAGGUUGAGCCCGAGCCAGAACCUCAAAUAAAAUCAGACCCAGAGGAAGAUCCUGAAUGGGAGCAACGAUCAUGAGCAUGAACUUGAGCCACUGGUUGAGAUUGACGUAGAGUCUGGGCCUAAGGUAGAAGACUCAUCUGAAGAUGAAGCUCCAUUAAAAAAGAUUCACAGAAUUCAUAGGGAAUAGAAACUUAGAUUCCAUUUUCUUAGUACUGUGAUAUCUUUACCUUUAUGCUAUUGGAAAUAAAUAUAAAAAAUAAAAUUGUCAAACUAUUAUAUAUCAUGAUUUCAAGGAAUACUAUUAAUAAAAAAAAAUUAAUUUCCUUUAAACAUAUUGAGUUACUAUGUUGUCCAACAUUUUUAAGAGAAAAUUUAAUUUGUUAAAGGAAAUGGUGGGACAACAAGACCAAGCAGUUAUGUUUAGGGAUCUGAUAAGGGCAGUGCAUGACCUUGGUAGGAACCAAGCACCCGCACCAGCUCCUCAGAAUAGACCAACAAAUGCUAACAACAUAAGUUCAAUUGUGGAGCAGUUUCACCGUUUUAAACCUCCUUCUUUUGAUGGUAAGGUAAACUCUUUGGCAGCCGAGGAGUGGUUACGAGGGCUAGAGUGAAUCUACAAAUACAUGGCAUGCACUGAUGUACAGAAGGUAUCAUGUGCCGAUUUUAUGUUGAUCGAAGUAGCAGGCCACUGGUGGGAGUUUGCUUCGCGCACUAGAACAAAAGCACAGCAAUGUGCUAUGACUUGGGCAUAGUUCAAGAAAAGAAAUAAUGACAAAAUACUUUCCCCAAUCACCUAGGGAUUGGAGAGAAGCAGAGUUCCUACAGCUGAAACAAGGAAAUAUGUCGCUUGAUGAGUAUGAAAGGAAAUUUGAACAACUUUCUAGGUAUGCUACACACCUUGUUGAUAUCGAGCCAAAGAAGGUUAGGAGGUUUGAAUUAGGCUUGUGUCCAGAGAUUGGAGGAAUCAUGGCAUCUCACCAUAUGACUACCUAUAGUGAAGUGCUUCGGCGAGUGCAGUCAAUUUCUGAUCAUCUAGAAAUGGAUUGGAUGACUGAGAAGAAUAAUGAAUCAUAUGGAAAAUGAAAGUAGAAUGGAUCAAAUAAAGGGAAAGGAUUUGGAUAGUUUAAGAAGUCCAAUACAGGAUUAGGAUCAGGAUCAAGUAAACUAAAUAAAGUUACUUUACGAUGCCCAAAUUGCAACAAGGCUUAUGGAGGAGAGUGCUUGUUUGGGAAAAAUGUGUGCUAUCAUUGUGGCUAGGAAGGCCAUUUUGCUCCGGACUGCAAGGCAUACCCACCUAAGGAGGAUAACGAACAAGGCAAGAAAGUGAAAGUCGAAGUUUUUGCUUUCACCCAGGAAGAGGUAGCAGAGGAUCCGAAUGUAAUGACAGGUAUUCUAUCAAUAUCUGAACUACCUGCAUAUGUUCUUAUAGACUCCGGAGCUACUCAUUCAUUUAUCUUCACCGCAUUUAUUGUUAAAUCAUGUACUGCAUGUGAAAAAUCUAAUAGUGUUCUAGAAAUUUUCAUUCUAUCCGGUAGAAUUUUGAAUACCAAUCAGAUCGCUAGGCCAGUCAAAUUAGUAAUGGAAGGAAAAGAAUUUAUAACUGAUCUAUACCUCCUAGACAUGAAAGACUUUGACGUUGUUCUAGGAAUGAACUGAUUGGGAAGCAAUCACGCAACCAUUUGAUGUUUCGAAAAGGAAGUAGAUUUUCAGAGGCCUGGGGAGGAUAAGUUUCGAUUUUUUGCUGUACGAGUUAAGCCUUUACCUUGACUCGUAUCGGUUAUGAAGGCAGAAAAGAUCUUACCAAUAAUUUCUAGUGAGUAUCCAUGGAUAUUAGCAAUCAGAGCUUACUAUUGGUAAUGUGUAACACCCCAAAUUAAAUAAACAUAACGUCACGUAAACAUAGAACAUUAAACUAAAUUAAACGAAACACAUAAUAUCAUUGGUUUGAAAGGGAUUCGAACACUGGACCUUCAAUUUGUAUGUGAAAGCUCUAACCAAAUGAGUUACAAUAGAUGCUUUCACUUUUCACCAAAUAAUAAAAUCUUUUCAACAUGGCACUGUGCAAAAAUAAAGUUACUUAUUUCAAUCGGUUAUGUUACUUCAUUCACGUAUAUUUGUUUUCUGAUGGGCUAUAUCAUCUCUGCACAUCUAGGAUCACAUGCUCUGCCUCUCUUCCCAUUUUCUCAUGAAGCUUUCUGCCCAUGAGAUGUCCUUGAAGAUCUCGUAAGGCAAAGUGUUGUGAUUCUGGUGAAAUUUUAGUCAUUUGUCUCCGUUUUUGUCCAUAUGGCUAUAAAUUUUCAUGAUGCUCAUACAACUUUUAGGAUCUAGUUUGUUUAGAUUUAGAGGCAAGCAUGGUGUCGGUAGAAUGGAGUGUGUAUCUGUUAUUUAAUUGUUUCUUUGUGAUCAUCUCUUUUUGUUUAUCUAUUUCCAGUCAAAAUCUCAUUUAAGAUGCUAAAUUGUAAGUUUAUAAUUUCCAGGUAUCAAGAUCUAUUGGCGAUGUCUAUCUGAAAAAACCCGACUUCAACAGAGACCCCCUUUUCUUACAAUUCGGAAAUCCUGUUCCUUUGAAGAGACCACUAUUAACAGCUGAACCCUCAAUUGUAACUCGGAAGCUCAGGCCACAAGAUUUGUUCUUAAUCUUUGCCUCAGAUGGCCUCUGGGAACAUCUCAGUGAUGAAGCUGCUGUGGAUAUUGUAUAUAAUGUAAGUGUUAUGCCCUAGAUCCAAUCGAUUUAGGUUGUAAACGCGUAAUAACGAGAUAUGGAUAUCGUUAAUACAGUUAGACCAUCAUGUGUGGCAUUUCUUACUUGUGAAGUAAGUAGCUGAUCUCACGAGUUAAAGUGUGGUGACACUUAAAUGAAGACGUGGAUGUUUUGUUAUAGAACAAAACAUUGGAGACCCGCUAAGAGAUUCCACAUGGAUAACUAUCUGAGUGUCAGUGGCUAAUCUCUAACGUUCGGUAGUGGAAUUGGUCCUUUGACUUGAGGUCGUCCUGAUACCUUAUAUGAGGACAGUCAUACUUUGGCGGUGUUGGAUGUUGCUCUGAAAGGGGCCGCUAAUACGACAUCGUUCGGGUACGUCAAGAAUCGUAUGAAGGUUGUGAUUGAUCAAUAAAGGAUUCGUCACUCUUAGAUAGUAGGAAAUUAUGAUCUGCAUUUCAUUCAAUUAAGUCGAUGAUGAAAUCCUUGGCCAAGGUGUACUCAUAAGUCGAAAAGGAGUUUUCGAUUUAUAUUGACUUAAUAGUGGAGUGAAAGAUAUGAUCAAUGAUCGAGAUUGACACAAUUUCAUAUCUCGUAAUUGAUCGGAUCGUAUUGACGAAAGGAUAAUAGUUCCACAGUAAACGAACGAAUUUGGUUUUGUCAUACCACGUGACAUUUCCGGUCACAUGUAUUGCCCUGACACAUUGCUAGAUGUCAAUCAAGGACGGCGAAUGUGAAUUGACGAUAAAUUAAAAGGGUGUAUUAAUUUAUCAAUUUUGAUUAGAUCAAAAUAAUAUUUCACGACGUCAGACAUUGUGGUCGGGAACCUAAUGGGUCGCACACAAAAGAGAAUUUGAAGACUGCAAAUUGUCAAUUGAUUAAUUUAACAAUCGUUGAAUAAAUUAAUUAAUUGAAUUUGUUAUUUAUAAUCCCGAAUCAAUUAAUUGGAUUAAUUAAUUCACGGAUCGGGUUUAAUUAAUUGAAUUAAUUAAAUAUUGGACCAGACCGGGCCGGGUCCGUUUGGGUUUAUAUAUAUAUGCAGCUAGGGUUUGAGGUCCAAUAAUGUUUUCAUUAUUCUUGCUGGCACAAGAAAGAAACCCUAGCAGUUGCUGUCUACUCUCUGUGUGGAUUACAUUGGAGGCUGGACAAUUGGACAGCUGUGGGAGGCAGAUUCAAGCUGCUGGAAAGGAAUAAUGCGAAAGAGUUUGCAAAUUACAAGUAAAGGUAUAUUUCUUAUCACAAUUUUUAUCUAAAUACAAAGCUAAAUCCUGAAUGGGAAUUGAAACUUGUUAAAUUCCGCUGUGCAUGUUUAAGUAAAUUCCCAACAGUGGUAUCAGAGCCGACUUUGUAUUUGUUAAGAACUGUUUAACGUGUUGAUUAAAUUAAAUGUUAGUUUAAUCACGUUCAUUCCUAAAUCUAGCAAAUAUAGUUUUAAAUUUUUUUUGUCUUUUUGGAUCUGUUCUUGAANNNNNNNNNNNNNNNNNNNNNNNNNNNNNNNNNNNNNNNNNNNNNNNNNNNNNNNNNNNNNNCUGCCACCAGCAGCGCCUCGCGCUGCUGGUGUUUUCUCAUGGGCGGCGCCGCCCCAGAAAGAAGAGAAGAAAAAAAAAAAAAAUUUUUUUUUUUUUAGGGUUUUGGUGGAGGCGGGGGCCUCUGUUGCAAUUAAUGUAAUUUGGGGCCCCUGGUUGCAAUUACACAAAAGGGGUCAAUUUGCAAAUUUUAAAUCAGGGACCUAUUCUGUAAAUUUCGAUUUUAGAAGGGUCUGCUGUUAAUUUCAUUUUGGGUAACUUUUGUAAAAUUUCAAAAAGGGUUUUGAUUUUGAAUUUUGAAUUAUUUUAUAAUGAGUUUUAAAUUGGGUUUGACCCAUACCCUAAUUUUGACCCAAAAUUAAAAAAAAUAAAUUUUAUUUAAAAUUUGACGACUUUUAUAUUUUUGUUAAAAUUAGAUUUUAACUUAAAUAUUUAAUUUGACCCUUAAUUGAAUUUUUAUUAUAUUUUGGAAUUUUGUCCUAAAUUAAAAUAUUAAUUCAAUUUUAUUAGAGUUGGAUUCUAAUAUUAAAUUAAUUAAAUUUUGUUUUGAAUUAGCACCACUUCCCUAUGCAAAUUAGCACUUAGAGUAUGACUCUAAUUUAAUAAUUAAUUAAAAUUCGAUUUUGAUUAAAUUACCUCGCCCAAUAGUUAUGGAUUUAGAGUUGGACUCUAAUUCGAUAUUUAGUUAAAAUUAGAUUUUAAUUAAAUUGGACCGUCAAUUAAAUUAAUUAAUUAAUAUGAUUAAUUAAUUGUUUAAUUAUCUCGAUCCCAAAAUUUUGAUUUAAUUUUGACGACUAUAAUUGCUAGAUUCAUGAGACAUUACAUAUAAUAUUAGAUAUUAUACAUAUGAAACAUUUAUGUGAUGAAUGUUUAUGGAUGAUUAUGGACUCGACCAUAUGGAUGUGUUGAAUGGUUGAUUUACUUCUUAUUGUUGUUGUGGGCCUGCGAGCUCCUUAUUAAAUAAUUGGGACUGCGAGUCCGUUGUUAUUAUUAUUAUUGUGGGCCUGCGAGUCCCUUUUUUUUAGGCCUGCGUGCCAACUAGUAUAGGAUACAUGUUGCAAGUUCGGCUAAUUGGAGGCGCAAGAAGAGGUGGACACCAUGAAGAUGGUGUAUUGGUAUUGGUCCAAUACUGUACCCCUUAGGAAUUGACCAACUAGUUUUCCUUUUGGCUCGAGAAAACUAGAUAGAACAAGUCAAUAAUCAUCCAUACUAUAUAUAUAUAUAUAUAUUCACAUAGUAGAUGUAUGUUUAAAUAUAUGUAUGCAUAUGUAGUUACUUGAUGAGACCAUUGCACAUUAAAUCCCUCGUUAAAAAUUAUUAAGUUAGUAUUAUUUGCCUUCCAUCAUUAUAGUGAAAAACGAGAAUCCUAAAUCGACCUUAGCUUGUUGAGUACACUCAAGGCUGGUCUAUUAGGGAUAUGUUUGACACUAUGAAAUAUUUGAUAUUUCUGAAUGAUGGGUUUAACUUAACUAAAAUUUAUCUUUAGUUGAGUACACUCAAGGAGAUAAAUUUUUGAGGCAUGUUAAGCUAACACAUAAGAUGUNNNNNNNNNNNNNNNNNNNNNNNNNNNNNNNNNNNNNNNNNNNNNNAUAACAUCUACCCAAAUGUUUUAUUAGGAUUUGUUGAGUACACUCAAGAUCUCGAUACAAUGAAUGGGAUCCCAGCCCACUGUGAAUCAAGUGUGGAUUCAAAUAAUUUAUGUAUGAGGGUCAUGAAUUUAUUUUAGACAGUGGGAGCACGUUUAAUUAAAGUCCAUAUUAAAUUUAUGCACAUGCAUUAUAAUACAUAUUAAUUCUAUUUUUUUCGUCAUUUACAGUUUUUGAAUCAUGAGUAAUCAUAUGAAUUUGAGAGGCAUACUGGAUGCCAACAAAUUGACCGGACCAAAUUUUCUCAAUUGGCACCNNNNNNNNNNNNNNNNNNNNNNNNNNNNNNNNNNNNNNNNNNNNNNNNNNNNNNNNNNNNNNNNNNNNNNNNNNNNNNNNNNNNNNNNNNNNNNNNNNNNNNNNNNNNNNNNNNNNNNNNNNNNNNNNNNNNNNNNNNNNNNNNNNNNNNNNNNNNNNNNNNNNNNNNNNNNNNNNNNNNNNNNNNNNNNNNNNNNNNNNNNNNNNNNNNNNNNNNNNNNNNNNNNNNNNNNNNNNNNNNNNNNNNNNNNNNNNNNNNNNNNNNNNNNNNNNNNNNNNNNNNNNNNNNNNNNNNNNNNNNNNNNNNNNNNNNNNNNNNNNNNNNNNNNNNNNNNNNNNNNNNNNNNNNNNNNNNNNNNNNNNNNNNNNNNNNNNNNNNNNNNNNNNNNNNNNNNNNNNNNNNNNNNNNNNNNNNNNNNNNNNNNNNNNNNNNNNNNNNNNNNNNNNNNNNNNNNNNNNNNNNNNNNNNNNNNNNNNNNNNNNNNNNNNNNNNNNNNNNNNNNNNNNNNNNNNNNNNNNNNNNNNNNNNNNNNNUCAAGGAAUUCAAACUUGAAGUAGAGAAACAAACUAGUAAAAAUAUACUCACGCUAAGAUCAGAUCGAGGUGGAGAAUAUUUAAAGGGAGAAUUUUUAGAUUAUCUUAAAGAGAACGGGAUUCUCUCGCAGUGGACUCCGCCAUAUACACCGCAACAUAAUGGUGUAUCUGAACGGAGGAAUCGCACUUUGUUAGAUAUGGUGCGAUCUAUGAUGAGCCAUGCAAACAUCCCAAAAUCAUUUUGGGGUCAUGCACUANNNNNNNNNNNNNNNNNNNNNNNNNNNNNNNNNNNNNNNNNNNNNNNNNNNNNNNNNNNNNNNNNNNNNNNNNNNNNNNNNNNNNNNNNNNNNNNNNNNNNNNNNNNNNNNNNNNNNNNNNNNNNNNNNNNNNNNNNNNNNNNNNNNNNNNNNNNNNNNNNNNNNNNNNNNNNNNNNNNNNNNNNNNNNNNNNNNNNNNNNNNNNNNNNNNNNNGUGUAUUUGUGGGAUAUCCAAAGGAGACAAUUGGAUAUCAAUUCUAUAAUCCCGUUGAGAAGAAAGUGUUCAUCUCAAGGCAUGCCAUAUUCCUAGAGGAAGAGUUUAUUCUAGGAGAGGGUAGUGGGAGCAAACUAGAACUUGAGGAAGUUCAAGAAUCCACAGACACUGUUGACCAAUUAGAUGAACUUGAGUCUGAUCCUACACCUGUUGGUGGACAGACUCUUGAUCAGGAUAUAGAGAACCCUGAGGACACUCCAGCUCAGCGUAAAUCAAAAAGGAUCAUUCGACCUCCCAGAAGGUACGAAUUCACGAUUACUAAUCAAGUAUUAUUAAUCGAGGAUGAUGAACCUACAAAUUAUGCAGAAGCAAAGUCAAGUGUUGAUUCGAAGAGAUGGCAAGAUGCCAUAGAAUCCGAAAUGGACUCAAUGUAUGAUAACAAGGUUUGGACCUUGGUCGACCUUCCAGGUGGGAUAAAACCGAUAGGUUGUAAAUGGGUUUACAAGAAAAAGGUCGAUGUGGAUGGAAACGUCCACACAUACAAAGCAAGGCUAGUAGCGAAGGGUUACACACAAAGACAAGGUAUUGACUUUGAUGAAACUUUUUCGCCUGUAGCCAUGCUGAAGUCCAUUCGAAUUUUGCUUGCAAUAGCUGCAUACCAUGAUUAUGAGAUAUGGCAAAUGGAUGUCAAAACUGCUUUCCUUAAUGGAAACCUGCAAGAGGAGGUGUAUAUGACACAGUCUGAAGGUUUUGAAUCCAAAGGAGCCAACAAAUUAUGCAAGCUAAAUCGAUCCAUUUAUGGAUUAAAGCAAGCCUCUAGGAACUGGAAUCUUCGUUUUGAUGAAACAAUCAAAAGGUUUGAUUUUAUCAAAAAUGAAGAUGAACCGUGUAUUUAUAAGAAAACAAAUGGGAGCGCAGUCGUAUUCCUGAUAUUAUAUGUCGAUGACAUAUUAUUAAUGGGAAACGACAUCCCAGUACUUCAAUCAGUAAAAUUAUGGUUGUCAAAGAAUUUCUCCAUGAAAGAUAUGGGAGAAGCAGCAUAUAUCUUGAGAAUCAAGAUCUAUAGAGAUAGAUCUAAAAGAUUACUAGGCUUAUCCCAAUCUUCGUACAUAGAUAAAAUUUUGAGAAGAUUUAAUAUGGAAGAGUCCAAAAGAGGAUUAUGCCCCAUGUCACAUGGGAUUUACCUCUCAAGAGAUAUGUGUCCUAAAACACAGGAUGAAAGGAGUCGCAUGGACAAGAUUCCUUAUGCUUCGGCGAUAGGAUCUAUCAUGUAUGCGAUGCUAUGUACGAGACAAGAUGUUUCAUAUGCUCUAAGUGUUACGAGUAGGUUUCAAGCAAACCCUGGUGAGAAACACUGGAUAGCGGUUAAGAACAUUCUUAAGUACUUAAGAAGGACUAAAGAUGUGUUCUUGAUCUAUGGAGGAAAUGAACUGAAAAUUCAGGGGUAUACUGAUGCUAGUUUUCAAACUGAUAAAGAUGAUAGCAAGUCUCAGUCAGGAUAUAUGUUUACUCUCAACAAUGGAGCGGUUAGUUGGAAAAGUUCCAAACAGGAAACAACCGCUGAUUCAACAACAGAAGCCGAGUACAUAGCUGCUUCUGAAGCAGCAAAGGAAGCUGUAUGGAUCAAGAAGUUCAUUAAUGAACUUGGAGUCGUUCCUAGCAUUGUUGAUCCCAUACCUUUGUAUUGUGAUAACAAUGGAGCCAUCGCGCAAGCGAAGGAACCGAGGCCUCAUCAACGAUCCAAACAUGUGCUAAGGCGAUAUCAUCUCAUCAGGGAGAUUAUACAAAGGAAUGAUGUAAAGAUAGAGCGAGUUCCCAUAGAUGAUAAUAUUGCAGAUCCGCUGACAAAGCCGUUGUCACAACAGAAACAUGAUCGUCAUGUGGAUGCUUAUGGUAUUAGAUACGUGAGUGAUUGGAUCUAGUGCAAGUGGGAGUUUGUAAGUGUUAUGCCCUAGAUCCAAUCGAUUUAGGUUGUAAACGCUUUUAAUAUAUUUAAUGCAUUUGAUUUUGGCGAGAUCUAUUAUUUAUUUAAAUUAAUUUUGUAAUAAAUAAUAUUAAAUAAUAGAAUCCGAAGAUCCAAUUUUUAGGUAAUCUGUUAAUCACAAGGAUUUGUGAUUGUGAGAUACAAAUUACAUAUAAUUGGAUCUUGAAUAAACCAUGGUCGUAAGUAAUAACGAGAUACGGAUAUCGUUAAUACAGUUAGACCAUCACGUGUGACAUUUCUUACUUGUGAAGUAAGUAGCUGAUCUCACGAGUUAAAGUGUGGUGACACUUAAAUGAAGACGUGGAUGUUUUGUUAUAGAACAAAACAUUGGAGACCCGCUAAGAGAUUCCAAAUGGAUAACUAUCUGAGUGUCAGUGGCUAAUCUCUAACGUUCGGUAGUGGAAUUGGUCCUUUGACUUAAGGUCGUCCUGAUACCUUAUAUGAGGACAGUCAUACUUUGGCGGUGUUGGAUGUUACUCUGAAAGGGGCCGCUAAUACGACAUCGUUCGGGUACGUCAAGAAUCGUAUGAAGGUUGUGAUUGAUUAAUAAAGGAUUCGUCACUCUUAGAUAGUAGGAAAUUAUGAUCUGCGUUUCAUUCAAUUAAGUCGAUGAUGAAAUCCUUGGCCAAGGUGUACUCAUAAGUCGAAAAGGAGUUUUCGAUUUAUAUUGACUUAAUAGUGGAGUGAAAGAUAUGAUCAAUGAUCGAGAUUGACACAAUUCCAUAUCUCGUAAUUGAUCGGAUCGUAUUGACGAAGGGAUAAUAGUUCCACGGUAAACGAACGAAUUUGAUUUUGUCAUACUACGUGAUAUUUCCCGUCACAUGUAUUGCCCUGACACAUUGCUAGAUGUCAAUCAGGGACGGCGAAUGUGAAUUGACGAUAAAUUAAAAGGGUGUAUUAAUUUAUCAAUUUUGAUUAGAUCAAAAUAAUAUUUCACGACGUCAUACAUCGUGGUCGGGAACCUAAUGGGUCGCACACAAAAGAGAAUUUGAAGACUGCAAAUUGUCAAUUGAUUAAUUUAACAAUCGUUGAAUAAAUUGAUUAAUUGAAUUUGUUAUUUAUAAUCCCGAAUUAAUUAAUUAGAUUAAUUAAUUCACGGACCGGGUUUAAUUAAUUGGAUUAAUUAAAUAUUGGACCGGACCGGACCGGGUCCGUUUGGGUUUAUAUAUAUAUGCAGCUAUGGUUUGAGGUCCAAUAAUGUUUUCAUUAUUCUUGCUAGCACAAAAAAGAAACCCUAGCAGUUGCUGUCUACUCUCUGUGUGGAUUACAUUGGAGACUGGACAAUUGGACAGCUGUGGGAGGCAGAUUCAAGCUGCUGGAAAGGAAUAACGCGAAAGAGUUUGCAAAUCACAAGUAAAGGUAUAUUUCUUAUCACAGUUUAUAUCUAAAUACAAAGCUGAAUCCUGAAUGGAAAUUGAAACUUGCUAAAUUCCGCUGUGCAUGUUUAAGUAAAUUUCCAACAUAUAAAUACCCAAGAGCUGUAAGUUUGAGUUCCCGCUACUUUUAUAUAGAUAAUUUCAGUAUAGAGACAUUAACACCUGGAUGUUUUUCUUCUGGCUUUAACCAUAUAUUUUGCCUUCGUGUGGCGAAAUUUAGAAAUCAUUUAUAAAUGUUCUUCAUUUUCGACCACAAAUUUCAAUGGAUCCACACGUAAUAUCUACUCAUCC
rnacentral:lncRNA from 1 species